UACGGAGGAUCCAAGCGUUGUCCGGAUUUAUUGGGUUUAAAGGGUGCGUAGGCGGACCAUUAAGUCAGAGGUGAAAGUUUGCAGCUUAACUGUAAAAUUGCCUUUGAAACUGGUGGUCUUGAGUAUAGUUGAGGUGGGCGGAAUGUGUCAUGUAGCGGUGAAAUGCUUAGAUAUGAUACAGAACACCGAUUGCGAAGGCAGCUCACUAAACUAUAACUGACGCUGAGGCACGAAAGCGUGGGGAGCGAACAGG
rnacentral:rRNA from 1 species